rnacentral:rRNA from 1 species
UCCAGACUCCUACGGGAGGCAGCAGUGGGGAAUAUUGCACAAUGGGGGAAACCCUGAUGCAGCGACGCCGCGUGAGUGAAGAAGUAUUUCGGUAUGUAAAGCUCUCUCAGCAGGGAAGAAAUAGCGACCUUUGGGUCGCCAGACGGUACCUGAUUAAGAAGCCCCGGCUAACUACGUGCCAGCAGCCGCGGUAAUACGUAGGGGGCAAGCGUUAUCCGGAUUUACUGGGUGUAAAGGGAGCGUAGACGGCAGCGCAAGUCUGAAGUGAAAUACCCGGGCUUAACCUGGGAACUGCUUUGGAAACUGUAUGGCUGGAGUGCUGGAGAGGUAAGCGGAAUUCCUAGUGUAGCGGUGAAAUGCGUAGAUAUUAGGAGGAACACCAGUGGCGAAGGCGGCUUACUGGACAGUAACUGACGUUGAGGCUCGAAAGCGUGGGGAGCAAACAGGAGUAGAUACCCUAGUA